CAGCAGCCGCGGGAAUACGGAGGGAGCUAACGUUGUUCGGAAUUACUGGGCGUAAAGCGCGCGUAGGCGGUUACUCAAGUCAGAGGUGAAAGCCCGGGGCUCAACCCCGGAACUGCCUUUGAAACUAGGUGACUAGAAUCUUGGAGAGGUCAGUGGAAUUCCGAGUGUAGAGGUGAAAUUCGUAGAUAUUCGGAAGAACACCAGUGGCGAAGGCGACUGACUGGACAAGUAUUGACGCUGAGGUGCGAAAGCGUGGGGAGCAAACAGGAUUAGAUACCCCGGUAGUCCCUGUCUCUUAUAC
rnacentral:rRNA from 1 species